CUUAAGUGGGGAAUAACGCAUCGAAAGGUGUGCUAAUACCGCAUGAUCUCUGAGGAGAGAAGCAGGGGAUCGCAAGACCUUGCGCUUUUGGAGCGGCCGAUGUCUGAUUAGCUUGUUGGUGAGGUAAAAGCUUACCAAGGCUUCGAUCAGUAGCUGGUCUGAGGGGACGACCAGCCACACUGGGACUGAGACACGGCCCAGACUCCUACGGGAGGCAGCAGUGGGGAAUUUUGGACAAUGGGGGCAACCCUGAUCCAGCCAUGCCGCGUGAGUGAAGAAGGCCUUCGGGUUGUAAAGCUCUUUCAGCCGGAACGAAACGGUUACGGUUAAUACCCGUGACUACUGACGGUACCGGAAGAAGAAGCACCGGCUAACUACGUGCCAGCAGCCGCGGUAAUACGUAGGGUGCGAGCGUUAAUCGGAAUUACUGGGCGUAAAGCGUGCGCAGGCGGUUUUGUAAGUCAGAUGUGAAAUCCCCGGGCUUAACCUGGGAACUGCGUUUGAAACUACAAGGCUAG
rnacentral:rRNA from 1 species